GAAGAGCCUCUGUUCCAGGGAACUCAGAGCAGGGACACUGUCUUAAUUAUCUUGAAAAAAGAAGAAACAGAGAGAAGUACAAAGAGAGUUUGAAGAGCCCUGUGGUCCCAAAGUGCUGCCUGCCCCUUCUUUUAGCAGCUUUCAAGGGUGUUUUCUUGAAUUGAUUGUAACCUGCUGCAGCUGCUGGAUACUCACCUUGUGCCACUUUGCAACUGGAUUUUGAAGAUGCCAAGGGCCAGGACACUCCUGUGAACCUCACUGACAGCUGGAUGGACCUGGCAGAGAGAACUCAUC